rnacentral:rRNA from 1 species
AGUGAACGCUGGCGGCGUGCUUAACACAUGCAAGUCGAACGAGAACGGAUUAUAGCUUGCUAUAAUUCUCAGCUAAGUGGCGCACGGGUGAGUAAUGUAUAGGUAAUAUGCCUCUUACUAAGGGAUAACAAUUGGAAACGUUUGCUAAUACCUUAUACUCCUUAUUAACAUAAGUUAAUAAGGGAAAGAUUUAUUGGUAAGAGAUUAGCCUGUAUUGUAUCAGUUAGUUGGUGGGGUAAUGGCUUAACAAGACUAUGACACAUAACUGGUUUGAGAGGAUGAUCAGUCACACUGGAACUGAGACACGGUCCAGACUCCUACGGGAGGCAGCAGUGGGGAAUAUUGCACAAUGGACGAAAGUCUGAUGCAGCAACGCCGCGUGGAGGAUGACACAUUUCGGUGCGUAAACUCCUUUUAUAUGAGAAGAUAAUGACGGUAUUAUAUGAAUAAGCACCGGCUAACUCCGUGCCAGCAGCCGCGGUAA